CGGUAUAUUGACCGUGCGAAGGUAGCAUAAUAAUUAGUCUUUUAAUUGAAGACUGGAAUGAAAGGUUGAACAAGAAGUUAGCUGUCUCUAAAUUAAAUUUUGAAUUUAACAUUUAAGUGAAAAGGCUUAAAUAUUUUAAAGGGACGAUAAGACCCUAUAAAUCUUUAUACUUGAUUUUAUAGAGCAAAAUAUUAAAAUAAUUUUUGUUCAAUAGGUUUGGGUAUUUUGUUGGGGCGACGGGAGUAUAAAAUGUAACUGCUCUAAAAUGAUAGUUAGUUGAUAUUUAGUUAAGUGAUCCUUUAAUAAAGAUGUUAGUUUAAGUUACUUUAGGGAUAACAGCGUAAUUUUUUUUGAGAGUCCAUAUCGAAAAAAAAGUUUGCGACCUCGAUGUUGAAUUAAAGAUCCUUUACGGUGCAGAAG
rnacentral:rRNA from 1 species